GAAGCGCAUAUAAAGCUACCGGUGGCUGAAAACACAAUAAUCUCGGGAUGAACGAGUGGCCAAUUUUCGGCCAAGGGCGGUCCAUUUUAAAAUCAUUCCUGCAAGUGUAUACUCGUCAGACGUAUGAAACGUCAUCAGAAGUGUCCACUUAAUUUGAGGGCGGAGGGGAUAGGGUGUGUCUUUUAAGUGUUUGGACCGUAAACUAGUGCCCAUAAUGAGUAUUUGUCGGAGGUUUAGAAAUCUCAGAAAUUGUCUAUAUUUUCCCGUUUCUUUCUGUCACCUUGUAAAUAUUUACUCAAAAACAAACCUGGAAAUAUAGAUAAUACAAUAUUGUGUAUAUAAACAUCAUUAUGGGAUAUGUAUGAAUGAAAAUAUAAAAACAGGCAUUAUACAUGCUAGCCUUUAAAGUUGUAAGGACCCAGCCGUAUAAAUUGAACGCACCCUCGUUCUUUAGGCCUUUCUCCGGUCAAGACGCGAGCGAAGAAGAUAAGCGCAAAAAUGAAGAACGGUAUUAAAUGUUUUUAUGUCAGAAGUACAACCCAGAUGGGCUGGCAAUACGUGUUGAAAGUCAGCGAAUGUGGUUGAGAGGUUGCCCAAGUCACUAAGUUUGCAAGACUGAUGCAUCAGCCAACAUUGAAAUGCGUAUAGAAUAGCAAGCAGUCUUGGAUCGGGAAUGCCGUGUAAUCAAGGAAAAUGAAGGGCAGUUCCAAACAGGCGUCUAGCAUUUGCGUGCUCAGGCGCCCAGAGAGACUUGCUUCCAGCGUCCUGCCCUGAGGGAAGAAGAUAUGGCUGGAUCCCAAUGAGAUUGCAAACUCCUACAGAAUGAUGGGUGUUUUCUGUCGCAAGACUCCAACCCAUUGAUGACCAAAGUUAUACUUGGAUAAUGGACUAGAUGACGUCCCAGUGGUGUGCAUCUGAAACUGCAUCCGUUGAUGCGUGCUCAGGCGCCCAGAGAGACUUGCUUCCAGCGUCCUGUGUUGGAUGACUAUGGCUGAAUCCCAAUAAAAUGACCACCGCCAACCCCGGCUGAGAAUGAUGGAUGGACGAUGGAUACAUUCUGUUACCACACCAACUUUUUGAUGUCAAAUGAUACUUGGAAAAUGGCGUUCAAGUGGUGUGCAUCUGAAACUGCAUCCGUUGAUGAGAGACUUGUCUCAGCGUCCUGCCCUGAGGGAAGAAGAUAUGGCUGGAUCCCAAUGAGAUUGCAAACUCCUACAGAAUGAUGGGUGUUUUCUGUCGCAAGACUCCAACCCAUUGAUGACCUUAGUUAUACUUGGAUAAUGGACUAGAUGACGUCCCAGUGGUGUGCAUCUGAAACUGCAUCCGUUGAUGCGUGCUCAGGCUCCCAGAGAGACUUGCUUCCAGCGUCCUGUGUUGGAUGACUAUGGCUGAAUCCCAAUAAAAUGGCCACCGCCAACCCCGACAGAGUGGGAUGGAAGAUGGAUACAUUCUGUUGCAAGGCUCCCUUGAUAUUUGGUCCCUGCUGCCUGAUGGAAAUCUACUUGGCUGCCAUUGUGGCAAAGCAAGUUCUGCUGGAUGAGUGAAGGCCUAUUUAUUUCCAAUUUAAUACCCAUCUUUUGACUGAUCAAGGAGUACAUCAUCACUUGAGGUUUUGCAAUGUUGAGGUAUUCCCCUGCUGAGACUACAGAUGACACCAGGAUCACUUGAGGACAUUGACAGGACUUGAGGAUGAUGCCGAUGCUUGUUGAAGAGCUUCAGUCAUGAAACGACCUGCUAGCCAGGAGGCAUUUCAAUGUGUGGACUGUGUAUCCAUGGCUGUAUUUUGUGCCAAUGACGACUUUGGGGGAUCAAAUCAAAGUUAAUUUGUCAAGUAAUGUUGGUGGUGUUCCUCUUGGUGUUGUCUUUGGACUCCCUCCUACUACAGUUCCCCCAAGUAAAGUACUUUGACAACUGCUGAUGUAAAAAAAAAAAAAACGUUUUGGAUAAUGAAUUUUAAAAUGCCACCAAUUAAAAGUAAUUUGUGAUUGCAGUAUUUGAAUAAAGAAUGAAUGGUCA